UGCUGUGAACUCGAAGAGUAGGGCGGGACACGUGGUAUCCUGUCUGAAUAUGGGGGGACCAUCCUCCAAGGCUAAAUACUCCUGACUGACCGAUAGUGAACCAGUACCGUGAGGGAAAGGCGAAAAGAACCCCGGCGAGGGGAGUGAAAAAGAACCUGAAACCGUGUACGUACAAGCAGUGGGAGCCUCUUUAUGGGGUGACUGCGUACCUUUUGUAUAAUGGGUCAGCGACUUAUAUUCUGUAGCAAGGUUAACCGUAUAGGGGAGCCGAAGGGAAACCGAGUCUUAACUGGGCGUUAAGUUGCAGGGUAUAGACCCGAAACCCGGUGAUCUAGCCAUGGGCAGGUUGAAGGUUGGGUAACACUAACUGGAGGACCGAACCGACUAAUGUUGAAAAAUUAGCGGAUGACCUGUGGCUGGGGGUGAAAGGCCAAUCAAACCGGGAGAUAGCUGGUUCUCCCCGAAAGCUAUUUAGGUAGCGCCUCGUGAACUCAUCUUCGGGGGUAGAGCACUGUUUCGGCUAGGGGGCCAUCCCGGCUUACCAACCCGAUGCAAACUACGAAUACCGAAGAAUGUUAUCACGGGAGACACACGGCGGGUGCUAACGUCCGUCGUGAAGAGGGAAACAACCCAGACCGCCAGCUAAGGUCCCAAAGUCAUGGUUAAGUGGGAAACGAUGUGGGAAGGCACAGACAGCCAGGAUGUUGGCUUAGAAGCAGCCAUCAUUUAAAGAAAGCGUAAUAGCUCACUGGUCGAGUCGGCCUGCGCGGAAGAUGUAACGGGGCUAAACCAUGCACCGAAGCUGCGGCAGCGACACUUAUGUGUUGUUGGGUAGGGGAGCGUUCUGUAAGCCGUUGAAGGUGUGCUGUGAGGCAUGCUGGAGGUAUCAGAAGUGCGAAUGCUGACAUAAGUAACGAUAAAGCGGGUGAAAAGCCCGCUCGCCGGAAGACCAAGGGUUCCUGUCCAACGUUAAUCGGGGCAGGGUGAGUCGACCCCUAAGGCGAGGCCGAAAGGCGUAGUCGAUGGGAAACAGGUUAAUAUUCCUGUACUUGGUGUUACUGCGAAGGGGGGACGGAGAAGGCUAUGUCAGCCGGGCGACGGUUGUCCCGGUUUAAGCAUGUAGGCGGAGGUUCCAGGUAAAUCCGGUACCUUGUUAACGCUGAGGUGUGAUGACGAGGCACUACGGUGCUGAAGUGAUAAAUGCCCUGCUUCCAGGAAAAGCCUCUAAGCAUCAGGUAACACGAAAUCGUACCCCAAACCGACACAGGUGGUCAGGUAGAGAAUACCAAGGCGCUUGAGAGAACUCGGGUGAAGGAACUAGGCAAAAUGGUGCCGUAACUUCGGGAGAAGGCACGCUGAUGUGUAGGUGAAGCCCCUGCGGGUGGAGCUGAAAUCAGUCGAAGAUACCAGCUGGCUGCAACUGUUUAUUAAAAACACAGCACUGUGCAAACACGAAAGUGGACGUAUACGGUGUGACGCCUGCCCGGUGCCGGAAGGUUAAUUGAUGGGGUUAGCGGCAACGCGAAGCUCUUGAUCGAAGCCCCGGUAAACGGCGGCCGUAACUAUAACGGUCCUAAGGUAGCGAAAUUCCUUGUCGGGUAAGUUCCGACCUGCACGAAUGGCGUAAUGAUGGCCAGGCUGUCUCCACCCGAGACUCAGUGAAAUUGAACUCGCUGUGAAGAUGCAGUGUACCCGCGGCAAGACGGAAAGACCCCGUGAACCUUUACUAUAGCUUGACACUGAACACUGGUCCUUGAUGUGUAGGAUAGGUGGGAGGCUUUGAAGCGUGGACGCCAGUCUGCGUGGAGCCAACCUUGAAAUACCACCCUUUAAUGGCUGGUGUUCUAACGUAGACCCGUAAUCCGGGUUGCGGACAGUGUCUGGUGGGUAGUUUGACUGGGGCGGUC
rnacentral:rRNA from 1 species